rnacentral:tRNA from 1 species
GUUUUCGUAGUGUAGUGGUUAUCACGUUUGCCUCACCCGCGAAAGGCCCCCGGUUCGAACCCGGGCGAAAACA